rnacentral:rRNA from 1 species
AUUGAACGCUGGCGGCAGGCCUAACACAUGCAAGUCGAAUGGUAACAGGAAACAGCUUGCUGUUUCGCUGACGAGUGGCGGACGGGUGAGUAAUGUCUGGGAAACUGCCUGAUGGAGGGGGAUAACUACUGGAAACGGUAGCUAAUACCGCAUAACGUCGCAAGACCAAAGAGGGGGACCUUCGGGCCUCUUGCCAUCAGAUGUGCCCAGAUGGGAUUAGCUAGUAGGUGGGGUAACGGCUCACCUAGGCGACGAUCCCUAGCUGGUCUGAGAAGAUGACCAGCCACACUGGAACUGAGACACGGUCCAGACUCCUACGGGAGGCAGCAGUGGGGAAUAUUGCACAAUGGGCGCAAGCCUGAUGCAGCCAUGCCGCGUGUAUGAAGAAGGCCUUCGGGUUGUAAAGUACUUUCAGCGGGGAGGAAGGGAGUAAAGUUAAUACCUUUGCUCAUUGACGUUACCCGCAGAAGAAGCACCGGCUAACUCCGUG